rnacentral:misc_RNA from 1 species
UGGCUCUCGCAUCGAUGAAGAACGCAGCGAAAUGCGAUAAGUAAUGUGAAUUGCAGAAUUCAGUGAAUCAUCGAGUCUUUGAACGCACCUUGCGCCCUUUGGUAUUCCGAAGGGCAUGCCUGUCUGAGUGUCAUGAUAACCUCAACCCAAAGGUUUUUCUUUGGAGUUUGGAUUUGGGUUUGUCUGUACUAGACUCUCCUUAAAAGCAUUAGCAAACGGGUGUAAUAAGUUUCGCCUCGGCGCUUACAACUAUUCUCUAGAAUAGACCUCAGAUCAGGUAGGACUACCCGCUGA